rnacentral:rRNA from 1 species
GUGAGGAAUAUUGGUCAAUGGGGGCAACCCUGAACCAGCCAUGCCGCGUGAAGGAUGAAGGCGUUAUGCGUUGUAAACUUCUUUUGUAUGGGAAGAAUGACAGGGAUUCAUCCUUGGAGAGACGGUACCAUACGAAUAAGCACCGGCUAACUCCGUGCCAGCAGCCGCGGUAAGACGGAGGGUGCAAGCGUUGUUCGGAAUUACUGGGCGUAAAGCGUAUGUAGGCGGCAAGUUAAGUUCAAUGUUAAAGCCCACGGCUCAACCGAGGAGAUGCAUUGAAUACUGGCUAGCUAGAGGGUGUUAGAGGAAGACGGAAUUCCCAGUGUAGCGGUGAAAUGCGUAGAUAUUGGGAGGAACAUCGGUAGCGAAAGCGGUCUUCUGGGACAUACCUGACGCUGAGGUACGAAAGCGUGGGGAGCAAACGGGAUUAGAAACCCCAGUAGUCC